rnacentral:rRNA from 1 species
GACGAACGCUGGCGGCGUGGAUUAGGCAUGCAAGUCGAACGGUAUCAUCCUUUCGGGGGUGAGAGAGUGGCGAACUGGUGAGUAACACGUAGGUUAUCUACCCUCAAGACGGGGACAACCCAGGGAAACUUGGGCUAAUACCGGAUGUGAGCAACUUUUAGUUGUUUGAAAGGUGGCGUAAGCUGUCGCUUGGGGAUGAGCCUGCGUCCUAUUAGUUAGUUGGUGAGGUAACGGCUCACCUAGGCAAUGAUAGGUAGGCGGCCUUAACGGGUGGUCGCCCACACUGGGAUUGAGAUACGGCCCAGACUCCUACGGGAGCAGCAGUCGAGAAUAGUCUACAAUGGUCGGAAGACUGAUAGUGCGACGCCGCGUGAACGAUGAAUCCCUUCGGGGUGUAAAGUUCUUUUAUAUGUGAGCAGUGCUUCUUAUAUUAACAGUAUGGGGAGAGAGAUAUUAGCAUAUGAAUAAGCAACGGCUAACUCCGUGCCAGCAGCGCGGU